GUGAAUCAUCAAAUUUUUGAACGCAAAUUGCACUCUCUGGCAUUCCGGAGAGUAUGCCUGUUUGAGGGUCAGUAUAAUUAAAAUUGGAGCGAUGCGUUUUGGGUGACGCACAGGAGUUUGGGUUAUGUUAACUCUUUUUUUUAAAAGUCCUAUAAUUAACAUUAUUUUUUGUUUACUUUUGAGAUGUAUGUAAUUUUUUUCUUUUCGUCUAUCUUGGUGGAAAAAUUUUUAUUCGAUUGUGA
rnacentral:misc_RNA from 1 species